rnacentral:rRNA from 1 species
AUGACCGGGAGGGACUUUUUGAAGUUUGCAAUCCAAGUACUCGCCAACGUGCUCCUCUACCGCUGCUACAUGAACAAGACCUACACGGUACAAGGGUUCGCAUUGCCGGAUUAUACCAACAUCGUCCAUCUGGAGGAUACCAGGUGCUUUACUCAAUCUGGACAAGGAACGAGGAUCAUUUCACUUUCACGGUUGAGUUCUACAUCAUUGCAGUGGGAGCCAAUGAACCGAGGCCUAUCGAACAACCACCAUUGCAACAAGUAG